AUAUAAGCAAAUUUUACUUUUUAGAUUCAUUCAAUUAAUGAUGUAUGUGUUCCAUAUUAUGAAUUACAUACAUCAUUAAUUGAAUGAACCUAAAAAGUAAAAUUUGCUUAUAU
rfam:Medicago truncatula strain A17 chromosome 7, whole genome shotgun sequence.